rnacentral:miRNA from 1 species
AAUACAGGACACCAAGUUAAAUUUUAAUUUCAGAUAAACAUGAUUUUUAGUAUAAUUAUCCCCUUGCAAUAUUUGGGACAUACUUAUACUAAAAAUUAUUAUCUAUUCAUCUGAAAUUAAAAUUUAACUUGGUGUCCUUUAUUUU